rnacentral:misc_RNA from 1 species
AAUUAUCAACCUAAUAAUUUAUUAGGAUUGGACUUGGGAUUUGCUGGCUUUGAGUAGUCAGCUAUCCUUAAAUGCAUGUAUUGACGUGCACGGCCUGUCUCCGGUGAUAAAUGAUCCGUUGGUCCGGGCUGGAAGCGUCAUUAGGAUUUUAUUAGACAUGGCACGGCCUGUUGCAGGGCUGGAAGUGUUUACACUUGACA